AUGCUCACUUUGGCAGCACAUAUACAAACUUGGAAUGAUACAGAGAAGAUUAGCAUGGCCCCUGUGCAAGGAUGACACGCUAAUUUGUGAAGCAUUCCAUAUUUCU
rnacentral:snRNA from 1 species